GCAGCAUAGAGAAUAAUUCGCGAAUGAAAAUUGAGAUCCCUAUUUGGAUAUGACUUUGGCCUUCCUGAUAUCUUCUCAUGUAAACAAGUUUCCAGUUUUCAAUUCAAAAACCCUACAAAAUGAUUAGUCGUGGUUUGAUCCGAUAAACGGGUACAGAGUACGAUAGCCAAAUCCGAGAAUCGUCAAUUGAAGUAGAAUCAAUCAGAUUAGUCAGAUGGCGCUGACGAAUUUCAUACUGACGGUGGUUGGAGUCAGCGCGGUGGUAUUGCUGAUGAGAAGCGAUGUGAAACAAUCUGCUUCCGUUUUCCGCCGUAACGUUCGUCACAUUCGCAACUGGCUCGAAGAAGAGUCAGCAACUGCAGCCAAGGAAAUGGAGAAGGCAAAACCAAAAGAGAUACCAGGGAAAGAUAUUCCCAAAGAUGACAAGCACUAAAUGUGAUACCUGCACAAGGAACUGCACCAGUAGGAAGUUUUCUUUGUGAGAUUUUAGUUGCACAAGGAGCUGUAAAAUGGGUCUGGUCGGUGGCCCAGAUCACCCAAUUUUUCUAAUUUCUUAAAAGUAGAAUAAAAUAGGGUUGCAUGGGCUGCAGGCCAAGAUAGUCAACCUUCUAUCCCUUGUGCCUAUAGUUGUAGGUAUUUUAUAUAGAAUUGUGUUUUAUUCUUGGUUCUUUUCUAUUCUAGAGUGCUAUGUCCUGUUUCUUCUAAUGCUCUUUUGGGUUCUCCCCACCCUUGCUUUAAGGUAGCUGAUCAAUGCAGAUAUUUUACCCUCCACUUGAACACUUGAUUUAACAAGAAAUGGAAUGUCAAGAACUAGAACAUUUAUCUUA